rnacentral:tRNA from 1 species
GUUCCUGUGGUGUAUCUUGCACAUUAGAUUUUCAUUCUAAGGGGAUAAAUUAAUUUAUUAGGAAUA